GAUGAACGCUGGCGGCGUGCCUAAUACAUGCAAGUCGAGCGAACGGACGAGAAGCUUGCUUCUCUGAUGUUAGCGGCGGACGGGUGAGUAACACGUGGAUAACCUACCUAUAAGACUGGGAUAACUUCGGGAAACCGGAGCUAAUACCGGAUGAUAUUUUGAACCGCAUGGUUCAAAAGUGAAAGACGGUCUUGCUGUCACUUAUAGAUGGAUCCGCGCUGCAUUAGCUAGUUGGUAAGGUAACGGCUUACCAAGGCAACGAUGCAUAGCCGACCUGAGAGGGGGGACGGGCCAACGGGAAACGGAGAACGGGCCAGGCCCCAGAGGGGGGGAAGAAGUGGGGAAUCUUCCGCAAGGGGGGAAAGCCGGACGGAGCAAGGCCGGGGGAGGGAGAAGGGUCUUGGGAGCGAAAAACUUUUUUAUGGGGGAAAAAAAUAUGUGUAAGUAACUGGGCACCUCUUGAGGGAACCUAACAAAAAAGCAACGGCUAACUCCGUG
rnacentral:rRNA from 1 species